CUCCUGAAAAACCAAUCCCAACAGUAGCAGAUCUGAAGGAAAAACCACAGGAAAAUCUCUUUUGCUGCAGGAGCUAUAAGAAGGUAUUCAGCGCUGCCAUCCAAGACCUGAUGAAUGAAGAUGAAGCAGAGGACGAGAUGGACUCUGCUUCCCAUGCUGAUGAUUUACAAGCUGAGUUGCGAAAUGGCAUCAAGGAGAAGGUGUUGCAACAGUUAAGUGAGAGAGGACUUAAGAACAACAGGAAAAUCCUUCAGCAGUACUUGAAAAUUGUUUCCCGGAACAGUGUCUCUUUCAGACUCUCAAAACCCAGCGACUACACCAUAAGGCCUAAGGCUGACCAACCAAUGCUGGCACCUCCAGAAGGCCUGUUCGAGAUGGACAUGGAUUUUGUUGCAGAGCACCUAAGGGUGGGUGUAGAGUUGGAGCUCUUCAUGUUGCUUUUCAGGUGGGGUUUAUAGAAUACACUGUUGGGCCUGCUCCAGCCAAGCAUGUUUAGAUAUCAUUAUGAGAUAUGGAGAAGACCCUAAUUCAGCAAAAUCAUGGAAUAACCUAA
ensembl:lncRNA